rnacentral:rRNA from 1 species
ACAUGCAAGUCGCACGGACUGUUUCGGCAGUUAGUGGCGGACGGGUGAGUAACACGUAGGUGACCUACCCCAAAGUCUGGGACAACUAGGAGAAAUCUUAGCUAAUCCUGGAUGUGAACCUCAGCUGUGGCUGAUGUUUAAAGCUUCGGCGCUUUGGGAUGGGCCUGCGGCGCAUCAGGUAGUUGGUGGGGUAACGGCCCACCAAGCCGACGACGCGUAGCUGGUCUGAGAGGACGACCAGCCACAGGGGUACUGAGACACGGACCCCACUCCUACGGGAGGCAGCAGUUAGGAAUCUUCCGCAAUGGGCGAAAGCCUGACGGAGCGAUACCGCUUGAAGGACGAAGCCCUUCGGGGUGUAAACUUCUGAACUCGGGACGAUAAUGACGGUACCGAGGUAAUAGCACCGGCUAACUCCGUGCCAGCAGCCGCGGUAAUACGGAGGGUGCGAGCGUUAAUCGGAAUUACUGGGCGUAAAGCGUGCGCAGGCGGAUUGUUAAGCAAGACGUGAAAUCCCCGGGCUUAACCUGGGAAUGGCGUUUUGAACUGGCAGUCUAGAGUGCGUCAGAGGGGGGUG